ACGUGCUGCAGUUCUUUACCGCUUUAAAUUUUCGCGCUCUUUAAAGUUUGCUGGAUUCCGAUUGGCUGUCUCUUUUGCUGUUCAUCAGCAGGGAAAAAACUUUCUGUAAAAGUGACUCCGAUGAUAUUGUUCAUCUGUGUCGUUAUCUUUAUAUUUGUGGUGUGGACUUUUUUUAAUUUAUAGAUAUUUUUAAAACAAUAUCUUUCUAUUUAUCGUUAUAGUUAUCAUUCCAAGGGUGCUUUUUACACUAGCACUUUUGGUGCGCACCCGGGUUCGAUUGACGUCAGAGUUCGGUUCGUUUGGAUGAUGUGAACGCUGUCUUCCGAACUCGGGUGCACACGCGUGAACCGUACCCGAGACCGCUUAAAAAGUGUAGUCUAGGGAACGGUUCAUGUGAACUCUGGUACAGUUCGCUGCUGAUGUGAAUGCAAUCAUACCAAAUAGCGGAAGUGAACCGCAAUUAAUGACGUAUAAUUUGAUAAAGAUGUGUUUGUGUGUGUGUUUCACUCACUUUCCUAACGAGCGUGACUGACGCGCUGCAAACAGAGAGCUGUAUAUCUCAUUUCUCUUCACCUUCAGCGUUCUUUCGAGCAUUUCUAGUACAUUCGCAAGACAUACGGUUCAAAUACGUAAAUAUAUAAAAGUGCAGAGAGCAAUGUUAUGCAUUAGCCGCCUUCUCCUGCGCCGCCGUUACUAAGCAACGGGGUAAACAGCUGCUGGCUUGAUGACACAAACGAACUGUGGUUCGGACCCAAAUGAAAUAAUAUGAACGCAGUCCAGCGGGGGCAGGGGGAGGGGAAAGCAAUCGAACUCGGGUUCGGACCAGGCAAAACACCCAAAACACCCUAGCUACAUAACAGUAAGUAUUAUUUUUUUCAAAAGUAAAGAUCUAGCAUUAUAUUUCCCAUGUAAAACAGUGUCCUGUGAAGGCCAUCAAGAGAGUUUAUGUUGAAGAGAGAGAUUAGGGUCCAUAGGUUCAGUCAUGGGUAAUGCACCAUAAACACAAGCGCUCUCUCAUGCUGCGCGUCAUUAAGAUCGAAAACUACCAUCGAGUGUUGCCACA
ensembl:lncRNA